CCUACGGGAUGCAGCAGUGGGGAAUAUUGCACAAUGGGGGAAACCCUGAUGCAGCGACGCCGCGUGAGUGAAGAAGUAAUUCGUUAUGUAAAGCUCUAUCAGCAGGGAAGAAAAUGACGGUACCUGAGUAAGAAGCCCCGGCUAACUACGUGCCAGCAGCCGCGGUAAUACGUAGGAGGCAAGCGUUAUCCGGAUUUACUGGGUGUAAAGGGAGCGUAGACGGGUGUGCAAGUCAGGAGUGAAGGGCGGGGGCUCAACCCGCGGACUGCUAUGGAAACUGUGCGGCUGGAGUGCAGGAGAGGUAAGUGGAAUUCGUAGUGUAGCGGUGAAAUGCGUAGAUAUUAGGAAGAACACCGAUGGCGAAGGCAGCUUACUAGACUGUAACUGACGUUGAGGCUCGAAAGCGUGGGGAGCAAACAGGAUUAGAUACCCGGGUAGUC
rnacentral:rRNA from 1 species